rnacentral:rRNA from 1 species
UACAUGCAGUCGAGCGGACUGAUGGGAGCUUGCUCCCAUCAGUCAGCGGCGGACGGGUGAGUAACACGUGGGUAACCUGCCUGUAAGACUCGGAUAACUCCGGGAAACCGGGGCUAAUACCGGAUAACUCAUUUCCUCGCAUGAGGAAAUGUUGAAAGGUGGCUUUUAGCUAUCACUUACAGAUGGACCCGCGGCGCAUUAGCUAGUUGGUGAGGUAACGGCUCACCAAGGCGACGAUGCGUAGCCGACCUGAGAGGGUGAUCGGCCACACUGGGACUGAGACACGGCCCAGACUCCUACGGGAGGCAGCAGUAGGGAAUCUUCCGCAAUGGACGAAAGUCUGACGGAGCAACGCCGCGUGAGUGAUGAAGGUUUUCGGAUCGUAAAACUCUGUUGUUAGGGAAGAACAAGUACCGUUCGAAUAGGGCGGUACCUUGACGGUACCUAACCAGAAAGCCACGGCUAACUACGUGCCAGCAGCCGCGGUAAUACGUAGGUGGCAAGCGUUGUCCGGAAUUAUUGGGCGUAAAGCGCGCGCAGGUGGUUUCUUAAGUCUGAUGUGAAAGCCCACGGC